rnacentral:ncRNA from 2 species
AACGUAAUGCAGGGGAACCCGUGGCGACACGGGUUGAGAAUGGCCACGGCCUGACCCUUAGAACCUGUUGGUUAAGACCAUCGUAGGGAGCAGUGAUAUGAGCGAU